GUCAGCGGACUCCCUGCUCAGUUCGCGCCUGGUCGUUGUAGCUGGAGGUUGUGUCCUCUGUCUCGGGAGCAGCUGCAAAAAUUUCCUCUUCGUCCUUCGCUGUGGAAGGAGGGCGUCCGUUGGGCCUUUCUCUCUGUCCUGAGCGAAGUGCUGGUGGCUUUUCAGGAACCGCGCUUUCGAGAAGGAUCCUGAAAGGCAGGGGAGCUUCCAGCUGCAGGCCCAGAUGUCCAACUACGUGAGCGCUAUGUGGCCGGGCUCGCUGCCCGAGGAGUCGCCGUCGGCCUCGGGCCGGUCUAGCCGGCUGUCGUCGGCGACCGGGAGCCGCUCUCCCAGGAGCUCGCGGUCCCGUUCCAGCGUCUCCAGCCGGUGGUCGUCCGGCAGUCGGAGCCGGCCCCGGCGCGGGAGCAGGUCCCGGUCUCGGUCCCGGUCCCGGAGACGCCACCAGAGGAAGUACAGGCGCUAUUCGCGGUCCUACUCGCGGAGCCGCUCGCGAUCCCGCAGCCGCCGUCGCCGCCACCGGGAGAGGCACUACGUCUCCUCCAGGAGGUAUUACCGGUCUCCGUCUCCCUCGCCGGACCGAUCCCGCAGCCGGUCCCGCUCUCGGGGACGGUCGUAUUACCGAAGGGCCUACGCGGUCAUGCGGGGGCGACGCUACUAUGGCUUCGGUCGCUCCGUGUACCCGGAGGAGCGCAGGAGUUGGCGGGCGAGAUCCAGGACGAGGUCGCGGAGCCCAACGCCGUUUCGCUUAAGUGAGAAAGAUCGAAUGGAGCUGUUAGAAAUAGCAAAAGCCAAUGCAGCAAAAGCUUUAGGAACAACCAACUUUGAAUUGCCCCCCAGCCUCCGAGUUGUUCCCGGGCUUAAGGAAACAAACCAUGAAACAGCCAUACCAAACAAAGGAGCAAAGUUUGAGGUAAGUAUUCUAGGUUUAUCCAGACAGAAUCUUCAGAAAGCUACUUCCAGAAAGAUCUGAUUAGCAUUUUUAUUUGAUUUACUUUGAACUGUUUUUGAGAAAGGCUAGCUAAAUAUUUGUUAAAGUCAAAAUAGCAGGUCUGACAAUACUUAGUCUCUCCCAUGAAAAUAGAUGAACGACCUUUAUUUUUAGUUGACAGAGUAUUGCUGUCAUGAUUUUAGCUGGUAUUUUGAUUCUAUGUAGUUAACUGAAGAAUUUUUCUAACUAGUCUCUAGAGUAUUUAUCUGUAGUUUUCAUUUGCAGCAUUAUGUUCCCAGAAAUUCUGUACUCAACAUACAGUAUAGUUUAUCUGCUUUAUUUCUGUCUUAUAGAAAUCAUGAAUGUGGUCUCCAGACAUUGCUGAAGAAAAUCUGUUGAUGUUUUGAGAGAUUACAGAAGAGGCCUGCUUCACUUGCAGAUAAGUUUAUUAUUCUCCAGAAGUAAAUGUGCAUUGGCAAAUUACCCUGUGCUUUUUUAGUUGAAACCCAAAGCAUAAAAUCCAUAGCUUUAAAAAUGUAAGGUAGUUAGGAAUUGAUAUGCUCAGUUUAAAACAAGAGAAACAUUAUCUAGAUGAAUCUACCAUUCACACUCAGAUAUGGGUAUGCCUGUGUUAGUGCCAGACAAGUAAGAUCUUCAUUGCUUCUUCAAAUGAUUAGGUGUCAAACUGGCUAAUACAUUAAUUCUUUAAAACUAGGUAUUUUCUUAUUACUGAUUUUACCCUUCAGAGUUAUUCGAACUUGUAUUGGGAAUAAAAGACUGCUUUAUGGGGACAUGUGUCUUCAUCAGGUCCGUUUAAUACAUCAAUUUUGUUACGGGGGAAUCAACAGUACAGUGUUGUUUAGAUUGUGUACUGUAUGGUUAGAUCCCACUUGUUUUGUCUUUACAACGAAAUUUAAAUACGGUUGGGCUGUUUUGUAUAUUGCACUGUAAAUCAAAGGUGGUUUGGUUUUUUUUUUGUUUUUUAAUGUAUUGCCUUUUCCUGUCUAGCUGUCAGAAAAGCUAACAGAAGAUGGAACUGCAAAUGCCAGUGAAAAGUCCUCUCAACAAAAAAGCAGUAGCUUUAAUAAUUUUGUAGCAAAGCCAAUGCUUCAGAAAUCAGCUAAAGCUACUGCUGAAGAGACCUCUUCAGGAUCUCCAAAAACCCA